AUUGAACGCUGGCGGCAUGCCUUACACAUGCAAGUCGAACGGCAGCGGACCUUCGGGUGCCGGCGAGUGGCGAACGGGUGAGUAAAGUAUCGGAACGUACCUUUCAGUGGGGGAUAACUGUCCGAAAGGACAGCUAAUACCGCAUAUUCUGUGAGCAGGAAAGCAGGGGAUCGCAAGACCUUGCGCUGAUUGAGCGGCCGAUAUCAGAUUAGCUAGUUGGUGAGGUAAGGACGUCACCAACGGACGGACGAUCUGUAGCGGGUCGUGAGAGGAGUGAUCCGCCACACUGGAACGUAGAGACACGGUCCGACGACUCCUACCGGGAGGGCGAGC
rnacentral:rRNA from 1 species